ACCUUUGUCUAAGUACUAUCAUGAUUAUAGAAUAUCUAAUAGGACCAUUAUGGUCAGUAUGACCGUGGUCAUAGUCGUACCAUGGUUUGGCCAGCCAAAAAUAUGCCUAACCAUAUUGCCGUUAUUUGUAUUUGAUCUAUUCAUUCCACAUGGGUAGUCAAAAAUCUGUAUCUACCCUCAGAGAUAAAAGUCAGAACGAUUUCGCAAAGCAUGACACGAAAAUAUGAGCAUUUCAUGAUUUAUUUGAUUUUCUCAAUUGUCAAGUAUGAU
rnacentral:lncRNA from 1 species